rnacentral:lncRNA from 1 species
GCCUGGCCUUGUUUACAAGAAACCACGGACAAAAAAAGGAGCAUUUAAGGCUGGGCACGGUAGCUCGCGCCUGUAAUCCCAGCACUUUUGGAGGCCGAGGUGGGUGGAUCACCUGAGGUCAGGAGUUUGAGACCAGCCUGAUCAACCAAUGAAACCCUGUCUCUACUAAAAAUACAAAAUUAGUCAGGUGUAGUGGCACACGCCUGUAAUCCCAGUUACUUGGGAGGCUGAGGCAGGAGAAUCACUUGAACCCGGGAGGCGGAGUUUACAAUGAGCCAAGAUCAUGCCAUUGCACUCCAGCCAGGGCUAUAAGGCGAAACUCCGUCUCAAAAAAAAAAAAGGAGCAUUUACAUUUAAACCAAAUGUAUUUGUCCAACAAGGGAAUGGGAUGGGGGUGUGGAGGGGGGAGAGUUUAUCAUGAUAGUGAGUAUUCAGGCAGAGGCUAAGUUUUCACUUGGCUGAAGGCUCUAGAAAGGGUCACAUGGACAGAUGCCUCCUAUCAGUCCUUCUAAGUGUGAACUUCCACGUAAGGUUCCCUUAGUCACCUCUGAGCACUUACUUUGUGUCAAGUUCUCGGUAAGGCUCUGAGGACCCAGAAACAAAUGAGACAAGGUCAUGGUUACUCAACUGAAAUGCUGAAGCAGGAUAGAGAAAGGCUGAGCUCUGGAAACAGGAGGCUGGAGUUUAAUUCCUAGCUCUGUUAUUUCGUAGCUGUGCAUCACUGGAGAUGCCACUUGGCCUCUGGUUCUGUUUCCUCAUUUAUGAACUAGGAACAACAGUUAUCUUCAUAGAUUACAGGAACCCAAUGACAAAAUACACCUGGAGCAUUUGUAGCACAGUGCCUGGUAUGUAGUAAGCAUGUUAUUUUAUUAGUAGUAAUAUUUUUAUGAUGACCUUGGAUAAGUCACUUCAUUUUUCAAAGCCUCAGCUUUCUCAUCCAUAGGAUGGAGUUAACACUGACAUCACGGGGUUGGAAUCUUGCUGUGUCGUGGGGUCGGGAGCUGCCAUUUCGUCUCUCCGCUUCCUCCUGGGAUAAGUGGGUCGCAUCAUGCCCACUUGAUCGCGGACGGAAACCAGCCCCGUUCAGCGCAAAGGAGGAACCUGAAUUAACAAGGACGCGAUUUGCUGGCUGCGCUCCCGGGGGCGCCUAGCACAGGACCCAGCUACGGAGGCAAUAAAAACUUGGUGGAGUCUAAGUCCUGGGAAGGGAAAAAAAGGACGGAGGGGCGGGCCUAAGACAACCCCGCCCAUC